rnacentral:rRNA from 1 species
UACGUAGGGUGCAAGGCGUUGUCCGGAAUUAUUGGGCGUAAAGAGUACGUAGGUGGUUUGCCAAGUCCGAUGUGAAAUCUCCUGGCUUAACUGGGAGGGUGCGUUAGAUACUAGCAGGCUUGAGUGUGGGAGAGGAGAGCGGAAUUCCUGGUGUAGCGGUGAAAUGCGUAGAUAUCAGGAGGAACGCCUGUGGUGUAGACGGCUCUCUGGACCAUUACUGACACUGAGGUACGAAAGCGUGGGUAGCAAACAGG